rnacentral:rRNA from 1 species
UAUAACCGGCGAUGUCCGAAUGGGGAAACCCAGUGCAAUUCGUUGCACUAUCGUUAACUGAAUACAUAGGUUAACGAGGCGAACCGGGGGAACUGAAACAUCUAAGUACCCCGAGGAAAAGAAAUCAACCGAGAUUCCCCCAGUAGCGGCGAGCGAACGGGGAGCAGCCCAGAGUCUGAAUCAGCUUGUGUGUUAGUGGAACGGUCUGGAAAGUCCGACGGUACAGGGUGAUAGUCCCGUACACCAAAAUGCACAGGUUGUGAACUCGAAGAGUAGGGCGGGACACGUGGUAUCCUGUCUGAAUAUGGGGGGACCAUCCUCCAAGGCUAAAUACUCCUGACUGACCGAUAGUGAACCAGUACCGUGAGGGAAAGGCGAAAAGAACCCCGGCGAGGGGAGUGAAAAAGAACCUGAAACCGUGUACGUACAAGCAGUGGGAGCACCUUCGGGUGUGACUGCGUACCUUUUGUAUAAUGGGUCAGCGACUUAUAUUCUGUAGCAAGGUUAACCGUAUAGGGGAGCCGCAGGGAAACCGAGUCUUAACUGGGCGUUAAGUUGCAGGGUAUAGACCCGAAACCCGGUGAUCUAGCCAUGGGCAGGUUGAAGGUUGGGUAACACUAACUGGAGGACCGAACCGACUAAUGUUGAAAAAUUAGCGGAUGACUUGUGGCUGGGGGUGAAAGGCCAAUCAAACCGGGAGAUAGCUGGUUCUCCCCGAAAGCUAUUUAGGUAGCGCCUCGUGAACUCAUCUUCGGGGGUAGAGCACUGUUUCGGCUAGGGGGUCAUCCCGACUUACCAACCCGAUGCAAACUACGAAUACCGAAGAAUGUUAUCACGGGAGACACACGGCGGGUGCUAACGUCCGUCGUGAAGAGGGAAACAACCCAGACCGCCAGCUAAGGUCCCAAAGUCAUGGUUAAGUGGGAAACGAUGUGGGAAGGCACAGACAGCCAGGAUGUUGGCUUAGAAGCAGCCAUCAUUUAAAGAAAGCGUAAUAGCUCACUGGUCGAGUCGGCCUGCGCGGAAGAUGUAACGGGGCUAAACCAUGCACCGAAGCUGCGGCAGCGACACUAUGUGUUGUUGGGUAGGGGAGCGUUCUGUAAGCCUGCGAAGGUGUGCUGUGAGGCAUGCUGGAGGUAUCAGAAGUGCGAAUGCUGACAUAAGUAACGAUAAAGCGGGUGAAAAGCCCGCUCGCCGGAAGACCAAGGGUUCCUGUCCAACGUUAAUCGGGGCAGGGUGAGUCGACCCCUAAGGCGAGGCCGAAAGGCGUAGUCGAUGGGAAACAGGUUAAUAUUCCUGUACUUGGUGUUACUGCGAAGGGGGGACGGAGAAGGCUAUGUUAGCCGGGCGACGGUUGUCCCGGUUUAAGCAUGUAGGCUGGUUAUCCAGGCAAAUCCGGAUAAUCAAGGCUGAGGUGUGAUGACGAGGCACUACGGUGCUGAAGUAACAAAUGCCCUGCUUCCAGGAAAAGCCUCUAAGCAUCAGGUAACAUCAAAUCGUACCCCAAACCGACACAGGUGGUCAGGUAGAGAAUACCAAGGCGCUUGAGAGAACUCGGGUGAAGGAACUAGGCAAAAUGGUGCCGUAACUUCGGGAGAAGGCACGCUGGUGUGUAGGUGAAGUCCCUGCGGAUGGAGCUGAGACCAGUCGAAGAUACCAGCUGGCUGCAACUGUUUAUUAAAAACACAGCACUGUGCAAACACGAAAGUGGACGUAUACGGUGUGACGCCUGCCCGGUGCCGGAAGGUUAAUUGAUGGGGUUAUCCGUAAGGAGAAGCUCUUGAUCGAAGCCCCGGUAAACGGCGGCCGUAACUAUAACGGUCCUAAGGUAGCGAAAUUCCUUGUCGGGUAAGUUCCGACCUGCACGAAUGGCGUAAUGAUGGCCAGGCUGUCUCCACCCGAGACUCAGUGAAAUUGAACUCGCUGUGAAGAUGCAGUGUACCCGCGGCAAGACGGAAAGACCCCGUGAACCUUUACUAUAGCUUGACACUGAACAUUGAGCCUUGAUGUGUAGGAUAGGUGGGAGGCUUUGAAGCGUGGACGCCAGUCUGCGUGGAGCCAACCUUGAAAUACCACCCUUUAAUGUUUGAUGUUCUAACGUUGGCCCCUGACCGGGGUUGCGGACAGUGUCUGGUGGGUAGUUUGACUGGGGCGGUCUCCUCCCAAAGCGUAACGGAGGAGCACGAAGGUUAGCUAAUCCUGGUCGGACAUCAGGAGGUUAGUGCAAUGGCAUAAGCUAGCUUGACUGCGAGCGUGACGGCGCGAGCAGGUGCGAAAGCAGGUCAUAGUGAUCCGGUGGUUCUGAAUGGAAGGGCCAUCGCUCAACGGAUAAAAGGUACUCCGGGGAUAACAGGCUGAUACCGCCCAAGAGUUCAUAUCGACGGCGGUGUUUGGCACCUCGAUGUCGGCUCAUCACAUCCUGGGGCUGAAGUAGGUCCCAAGGGUAUGGCUGUUCGCCAUUUAAAGUGGUACGCGAGCUGGGUUUAGAACGUCGUGAGACAGUUCGGUCCCUAUCUGCCGUGGGCGCUGGAGAAUUGAGGGGGGCUGCUCCUAGUACGAGAGGACCGGAGUGGACGCAUCACUGGUGUUCGGGUUGUCAUGCCAAUGGCACUGCCCGGUAGCUAAAUGCGGAAGAGAUAAGUGCUGAAAGCAUCUAAGCACGAAACUUGCCCCGAGAUGAGUUCUCCCUGAGACUUUAAGUCUCCUGAAGGAACGUUGAAGACGACGACGUUGAUAGGCCGGGUGUGUAAGCGCAGCGAUGCGUUGAGCUAACCGGUACUAAUGAACCGUGAGGCUUAACCUU